GUUUAUCAGCUUGGGCAUGGAUCAGUUCGAUGUGGUAGGAUCUGAGGGAACGUGCGUCUAACCACCGUCUGAUCGAGUGUUGGAUUGACGUCAAAUGGCACAAAUCGGCAAGGAGACCAAUUAAUCUAGAUUGUCGGUCCAUUUAUAAAAGGUUUUUGGCCCUUGAUCACUGUUCAUUUCCCCGUUACCUUGUGGAGCUGCUACUGAAAUAUUUUCAAAAGCUUCUCAAUGCCGAACGAUCACCAAAGAUAGUGAGGAGCCUCAUCGGAGUGAGAGAGGAGGAGUCCAUUUCAUCUCUUGGGAGAGUUUUUCCUAUCUUUUUUAGGUACCAGUCCUCCCUAAUUCGCUUUCUUUUAAUCGUAGGGUAGCCCUUCUUCCUCUUCCGAGUCUUUUUAUUUUUUCUUCAUACUUUUUUUUCAAGAAACAUGUUCCACAGAAGUAGAAAGGAGAAGGAGACUGUAGAUGAACCACAGGUUAGAUCGAUCCAGCCCUUACUGGCCAUAGAAGUAGGAAAUGCACUUCAAGAAAACCCUGAAACCGGCU
rnacentral:lncRNA from 1 species